UGGCAGGAUGGCAGCAGCAGACACACAGGGUGGUUAAGAACAACAAACACAGGUAACAUCUGCUGAAGGCUUCUACAAGCUGAGCACUAACAGAGAAGAAAACUGAGGCAUAGAACAUUUGGGAAUGAAUCUAAGACUACACAUCUAGAAUAGCAGAGUUACAGGAAUGCAGAUGUGAUUCCUAUGGAUGAGGGUAACCUAGAGGCUAGAAGAACAAUAGGACAGAAGAAGCCUGGGUCCCUGAACAACCUUGUGGAGCAUAGACACCUACGUGGCCUGGACUGCCAGCUCACAAUGGGCCUCUCUGUGAGAGAAGGAAACUUCCCUCUUGUUUAAGCAACUGUGCUUUUGAGAAUCUCUUGGUCUAUACCCUAAUGAAUAAGGCCAUCAUAAAUGGAUAUCAA
rnacentral:lncRNA from 1 species